rnacentral:rRNA from 1 species
UACGUGAGGGGCAAGCGUUGUCCGGAAUCAUUGGGCGUAAAGCGCGUGUAGGCGGCUCGGUAAGUCUGCUGUGAAAGUCCAGGGCUCAACCCUGGAAGGCCGGUGGAAACUGUCGGGCUAGCAGUCCGGAAGAGGCGAGUGGAAUUCCCGGUGUAGCGGUGAAAUGCGCAGAUAUCGGGAGGAACACCAAUGGCGAAGGCAGCUCGCUGGGACGGUACUGACGCUGAGACGGCGAAAGCGUGGGGAGCAAACAGG